UACGUAGGGUGCAAGCGUUAAUCGGAAUUACUGGGCGUAAAGCGUGCGCAGGCGGCUUUGCAAGACAGGUGUGAAAUCCCCGGGCUCAACCUGGGAACUGCAUUUGUGACUGCAAAGCUAGAGUACGGCAGAGGGGGAUGGAAUUCCGCGUGUAGCAGUGAAAUGCGUAGAUAUGCGGAGGAACACCGAUGGCGAAGGCAGUCCCCUGGGCCUGUACUGACGCUCAUGCACGAAAGCGUGGGGAGCAAACAGG
rnacentral:rRNA from 1 species